GUGGGGAAUAUUGGGCAAUGGGCGAAAGCCUGACCCAGCAACGCCGCGUGAGGGAAGGAGGUUUUCGGAUCGUAAACCUCUGUCCUUAGUGAAGAGAAAGAGACGGUAGCUAAGGAGGAAGCCCCGGCUAACUACGUGCCAGCAGCCGCGGUAAUACGUAGGGGGCGAGCGUUGUCCGGAAUGAUUGGGCGUAAAGGGCGCGUAGGCGGCCUGUUAAGUCCGGAGUGAAAUUCCUGCUUUCAAGGUAGGAAGUGCUUUGGAAACUGGCGGGCUGGAGUGCAGGAGAGGUUAGCGGAAUUCCCGGUGUAGCGGUGAAAUGCGUAGAGAUCGGGAGGAACACCAGUGGCGAAGGCGGCUAACUGGACUGUAACUGACGCUGAGGCGCGAAAGUGUGGGGAGCAAACAGGAUUAGAUACCCGUGUAGUCC
rnacentral:rRNA from 1 species